rnacentral:rRNA from 1 species
UACAGAGGUCCCAAGUGUUGUUCGGAUUCACUGGGCGUAAAGGGUGCGUAGGUGGCGAGGUAAGUCGGAUGUGAAAGCUCGGAGCUCAACUCCGAAAUGGCAUUGGAAACUACCUUGCUCGAGGGUUGGAGGGGGGACUGGAAUUCUCGGUGUAGCAGUGAAAUGCGUAGAUAUCGAGAGGAACACCAGUGGCGAAGGCGAGUCCCUGGACAACUCCUGACACUGAGGCACGAAAGCUAGGGGAGCAAACAGG